rnacentral:rRNA from 1 species
UACGAAGGGGGCUAGCGUUGCUCGGAAUCACUGGGCGUAAAGCGCACGUAGGCGGGUCUUUAAGUCGGAGGUGAAAUCCUGGAGCUCAACUCCAGAACUGCCUUCGAUACUGAGGAUCUCGAGUCCGGGAGAGGUGAGUGGAACUGCGAGUGUAGAGGUGAAAUUCGUAGAUAUUAGGAAGAACACCAGUGGCGAAGGCGGCUCACUGGUCCGGUACUGACGCUGAGGUGCGAAAGCGUGGGGAGCAAACAGG